rnacentral:rRNA from 1 species
AGAUUGAACGCUGGCGGCAUGCCUUACACAUGCAAGUCGAACGGCAGCACGGGAGCAAUCCUGGUGGCGAGUGGCGAACGGGUGAGUAAUAUAUCGGAACGUGCCCAGUAAUGGGGGAUAGCCCGGCGAAAGCCGGAUUAAUACCGCAUACGACCUACGGGUGAAAGCGGGGGAUCGCAAGACCUCGCGUUAUUGGAGCGGCCGAUAUCAGAUUAGCUUGUUGGUGGGGUAAAAGCCUACCAAGGCGACGAUCUGUAGCCGGUCUGAGAGGACGACCAGCCACACUGGGACUGAGACACGGCCCAGACUCCUACGGGAGCAGCAGUGGGGAAUUUGGACAAUGGGCGAAAGCCUGGAUCCAGCCAUGCCGCGUGUCGGGAAGAGGCCUUCGGGUUAGUAAACCACUUUUUGGCGAAGGAAGUAAACGACCCCGUAACUAAUACUUAAGGACUAAUGAACGGUACCUAG